AUGGCUUCCUCUUCUCCUAAAUUCUACACCGUCGUUAUGUUCAUCGGCCUUACCCUGCUCCUUUUCUCCACACCGGAGGUGCAAGCAAAACUUUGUAAAAGGCGCAGCAAAUUAUGGUCAGGGGUUUGUUUGGUAUCGGGAAACUGUAAGAAAGAGUGCAUCAACAUCGAACAUGCAGUUAGCGGGGCUUGUCUCCGUGAUAACUUUGGAGGGUCUUGCUUCUGUUACUUCAAGUGCUGA